rnacentral:tRNA from 1 species
GCACCUGUAGCUCAAUUGGAUAGAGCAUCGGUCUACGGAACCGAAGGUUGAUGGUUCGAGCCCAUCCAGGUGUA